rnacentral:lncRNA from 1 species
GGCCUCUGCCACCACAGCCUGGAGGUUUAAUUGGUUUUCACUACAGGAGAGAGCAGAGGAGAUGGAGGGUACAAAGAGAACAAUCCUGGGAGAGUUUCCAGCAGAAAGAGAAUGGGGAAGGGCAAUGACUGGGGUGUAGAGUUAGGGAACAGCCGGGAACAGAAUGUUGGGAUAUCAGACUGGUGAUGGUAUGACGUAGGAUAGCUGGGAGCAGAUGCUAUGUUUAAGAUCAGCUUGAGGCUUCUGUAUCAAAACUGUUGCAGCGGAAAAACCCCUGGACUGCUCUGUGAGUCCAGACAAAAUAUCCUGCGCUGAGGGACUUUCAAUGUGUUUUGAAAAUGAGUAGAAGCUAAGGAGUCGGGGACGAAGAUAAAGAGGGUUCCAGACAGAAGGAACAGAAUGUACAGAGACCUGGAAAUAUAAAACAAUACUUAUAUUUUAAAGGUAUUAACAAGUUUAUUGAGUGUGUGAGCAUGUGUUCAUACAUAUACAUACGCAAAAGGGUUAAAGUAAAACAUCUUAAAAGACAUGUUUAGAAAUUCAAGUUGAGCCAGGUGUGGUGGCGCAGGCCUUUAAUCCCAGCACUCAGGAGGCAGAGGCAGGCAGAUUUCUGGGUUCGAGGCCAGCCUGGUCUAAAAAGUGAGUUCCAGGACAGCCAGGGCUAUACAGAGAAACCCUGUCUCGAAUAAACAAAACAAAACAAAACAAAACAAAACAAAACAAAACAAAACAAAACAAAACAAAACCAAAACG